rnacentral:rRNA from 1 species
AGAGUUUGAUCCUGGCUCAGGACGAACGCUGGCGGCGUGCCUAAUACAUGCAAGUAGAACGCUGAAGAGAGGAGCUUGCUCUUCUUGGAUGAGUUGCGAACGGGUGAGUAACGCGUAGGUAACCUGCCUUGUAGCGAGGGAUAACUAUUGGAAACGAUAGCUAAUACCGCAUAACAAUGGAUGACCCAUGUCAUUUAUUUGAAAGGGGCAAAUGCUCCACUACAAGAUGGACCUGCGUUGUAUUAGCUAGUAGGUGAGGUAACGGCUCACCUAGGCGACGAUACAUAGCCGACCUGAGAGGGUGAUCGACCACACUGGGACUGAGACACGGCCCAGACUCCUACGGGAGGCAGCAGUAGGGAAUCUUCGGCAAUGGGGGCAACCCUGACCGAGCAACGCCGCGUGAGUGAAGAAGGUUUUCGGAUCGUAAAGCUCUGUUGUAAGUCAAGAACGAGUGUGAGAGUGGAAAGUUCACACUGUGACGGUAGCUUACCAGAAAGGGACGGCUAACUACGUGCCAGCAGCCGCGGUAAUACGUAGGUCCCGAGCGUUGUCCGGAUUUAUUGGGCGUAAAGCGAGCGCAGGCGGUUUGAUAAGUCUGAAGUUAAAGGCUGUGGCUCAACCAUAGUUCGCUUUGGAAACUGUCAAACUUGAGUGCAGAAGGGGAGAGUGGAAUUCCAUGUGUAGCGGUGAAAUGCGUAGAUAUAUGGAGGAACACCGGUGGCGAAAGCGGCUCUCUGGUCUGUAACUGACGCUGAGGCUCGAAAGCGUGGGGAGCGAACAGGAUUAGAUACCCUGGUAGUCCACGCCGUAAACGAUGAGUGCUAGGUGUUGGAUCCUUUCCGGGAUUCAGUGCCGCAGCUAACGCAUUAAGCACUCCGCCUGGGGAGUACGACCGCAAGGUUGAAACUCAAAGGAAUUGACGGGGGCCCGCACAAGCGGUGGAGCAUGUGGUUUAAUUCGAAGCAACGCGAAGAACCUUACCAGGUCUUGACAUCCCGAUGCUAUUUCUAGAGAUAGAAAGUUACUUCGGUACAUCGGUGACAGGUGGUGCAUGGUUGUCGUCAGCUCGUGUCGUGAGAUGUUGGGUUAAGUCCCGCAACGAGCGCUACCCCUAUUGUUAGUUGCCAUCAUUCAGUUGGGCACUCUAGCGAGACUGACGGUAAUAAACCGGAGGAAGGUGGGGAUGACGUCAAAUCAUCAUGCCCCUUAUGACCUGGGCUACACACGUGCUACAAUGGUUGGUACAACGAGUUGCGAGUCGGUGACGGCAAGCUAAUCUCUUAAAGCCAAUCUCAGUUCGGAUUGUAGGCUGCAACUCGCCUACAUGAAGUCGGAAUCGCUAGUAAUCGCGGAUCAGCACGCCGCGGUGAAUACGUUCCCGGGCCUUGUACACACCGCCCGUCACACCACGAGAGUUUGUAACACCCGAAGUCGGUGAGGUAACCUUUUGGAGCCAGCCGCCUAAGGUGGGAUAGAUGAUUGGGGUGAAGUCGUAACAAGGUA